UACGUAGGUGGCAAGCGUUGUCCGGAAUUAUUGGGCGUAAAGCGCGCGCAGGCGGUCCUUUAAGUCUGAUGUGAAAGCCCACGGCUCAACCGUGGAGGGUCAUUGGAAACUGGGGGACUUGAGUGCAGGAGAGAAGAGUGGAAUUCCACGUGUAGCGGUGAAAUGCGUAGAGAUGUGGAGGAACACCAGUGGCGAAGGCGGUGUUCUGGGC
rnacentral:rRNA from 1 species